rnacentral:rRNA from 1 species
CGGGCAGGUGGUCCGUUAAGUCGUUUGUGAAAAUCCGGGGCUCAACCCCGUGAAAUGCAGACGAUACUGGCGGGCUGGAGAUCGGUAGAGGCUAGCGGAAUUCCUGGUGUAGCGGUGGAAUGCGUAGAUAUCAGGAAGAACACCCGUGGCGAAGGCGGCUAGCCGGGCCGAGUCUGACACUCAUCCGCGAAAGCGUGGGGAGCAAACA